rnacentral:rRNA from 1 species
AACGAACGCUGGCGGCAUGCCUAACACAUGCAAGUCGAACGAAGCCUUCGGGCUUAGUGGCGCACGGGUGCGUAACGCGUGGGAAUCUGCCCUUGGGUUCGGUAUAACAGUUAGAAAUGACUGCUAAUACCGGAUGAUGUCUUCGGACCAAAGAUUUAUCGCCCAAGGAUGAGCCCGCGUAGGAUUAGGUAGUUGGUGGGGUAAUGGCCCACCAAGCCGACGAUCCUUAGCUGGUCCGAGAGGAUGAUCAGCCACACUGGGACUGAGACACGGCCCAGACUCCUACGGGAGGCAGCAGUGGGGAAUAUUGGACAAUGGGCGAAAGCCUGAUCCAGCAAUGCCGCGUGAGUGAUGAAGGCCUUAGGGUUGUAUAGCUCUUUUACCAGGGAUGAUAAUGACAGUACCUGGAGAAUAAGCUCCGGCUAACUCCGUGCCAGCCGCCGCCGUAAGAC